GAAAUGCGAUAAGUAGUGUGAAUUGCAGAAUUCAGUGAAUCAUCGAAUCUUUGAACGCACAUUGCGCCCCUUGGUAUUCCAUGGGGCAUGCCUGUUCGAGCGUCAUUUGUACCCUCAAGCUCUGCUUGGUGUUGGGUGUUUGUCCCCGUCUCCGCGCGUGGACUCGCCCCAAAGUGAUUGGCAGCCGGCGUACUGGUCCCGGAGCGCAGCACAUGUCGCGCAAACGAGUGCCUUGGUACGGCGGCGUCCAUAAGCCCCUCUCUCACGCUCUUGACCUCGGAUCAGGUAGGGAUUCCCGCUGAACUUAAGC
rnacentral:misc_RNA from 1 species